CAAAAUUGUAUACUAAGAAUUUUUUAAAGUUACUUUUCCUGUGGGCAGUGAAAUGGCUCAGUGGGUGAAGGCCCUCAUCUUCCACUUUGCUCAGAGACACCAUCUCGGGCUUGCAGCUGGACAGAUACACCAGACUAGCCCACCAGAGAGCUUCUGUGGAUUCCCUAUCUCCACUUCCCAUCUCUCCGAAUGAAUGCCAGGACUGUAGGUCCUGAGACCAAAGCUCGUGGCUUUAAAUGGGAGCAGGGAAUUCAAAUUCAGGUCCUCGGCUCCGGCAGCAAUUUCUUUACCCACAGAGCCAUCCCCAGCAUGGGCUGUUUCAACGCACCUGACUCACAAAAUAAGCAACAUCCAGGAACAGAAAAACAAACGUUAUAACGACUCCAGGAGCCGUGAGAUGUUGUUUAUUAUCGAGGAGCGGAUCAAGGGAGCGCUCAUCACCUUAGCA
rnacentral:lncRNA from 1 species